UUUAUCCGAAGCUAUUGUAUGAGUUUAGAUGAUUAAGUUGGUUGUUGGAAUUUCGGGGACGAAAUUCUAUAAGGAGGGAAGGUUGUCACAACCCGUCCCAGAAUUUUAAUUCCGAGGACGUGAAGUUAUGAAAAUGCCCUUAAACGGGACUAAGGGGCGUAAAAUAUGUUGUAACUUGAUGAUUUGGGGAUUGGGUAGGAUCCCACCUCCCUCAAAUCUCUCCCUCAUUCCCGUACCUUGUCUCUCUCUCUCUCCUCCCUCACAAAUCUCUCAUUCACUCUCCGUUCUCUCUCUCUCCUUCGAACUCACACGGACCACCCACAAACCACCCUAAAACUAUACCAACGAAGGAUCUAAGACCACCAUCGUACUCUUGAGGACCACACGAACACGAUGGUACCAAUUUCAGCUUGUAGGAAGCUUGGUGAGGUCCUAAGGAAGCUCGGAGUGCUUCGUUUGAAGGAUUUGGACGUCGGGAUCACGAACUAUUACGUGAAAAAUGGACGUAAGAACAAGGAGAAUGACAAGUUCAAAGUUUGGCCGGAGCUUUCGGGGUUUUUUCCGGCGAAUCCACGGCGAGUUAGGGGUCGAGGCAG